GAGCACAUCCGUUGUAGAAGUUCAUCUGGAAUCCAUCCACUGUAGAAGUUCGGAUGGAGUCAGGUUCUUGCAGAAGUCCAGAAGGAGGCCGCUUGUUGUAGAAGCUCGGAUGGAGAUUGGUUGCCGUGGAAGCCCUGCUGUUGGAGAAGUCCGAACAUUGAUGAAGCUCGAAAGAAGCUCAGAGUAAAGUUGAUCAUGACAGGAGGAAGUCUGGAAGAGAUUCGGAGAGUAGUCGAUCACUGUAGAAAAUUGACUGAUAUUGAAGCCCAGAGAGCAUUUGGAGCAAUCCGAUAGACGACUGAAGGAGCU
rnacentral:lncRNA from 1 species